UAGGGAAUCUUCCACAAUGGGCGAAAGCCUGAUGGAGCAACGCCGCGUGUGUGAUGAAGGGUUUCGGCUCGUAAAACACUGUUGUAAGAGAAGAAUGACAUUGAGAGUAACUGUUCAAUGUGUGACGGUAUCUUACCAGAAAGGAACGGCCAAAUACGUGCCAG
rnacentral:rRNA from 1 species